rnacentral:rRNA from 1 species
CCUGAGAGGGUGAUCGGCCACAUUGGAACUGAGAUACGGUCCAGACUCCUACGGGAGGCAGCAGUGGGGAAUCUUGCACAAUGGGCGAAAGCCUGAUGCAGCAACGCCGCGUGAGUGAAGAAGGUCUUCGGAUUGUAAAACUCUGUCUUCUGGGACGAUAAUGACGGUACCAAAGGAGGAAGCCACGGCUAACUACGUGCCAGCAGCCGCGGUAAUACGUAGGUGGCAAGCGUUGUCCGGAUUUACUGGGCGUAAAGGAUGUGUAGGCGGAUAUUUAAGUGAGAUGUGAAAUCCCCGAGCUCAACUUGGGGGCUGCAUUUCAAACUGGGUAUCUAGAGUGCAGGAGAGGAAAGUGGAAUUCCUAGUGUAGCGGUGAAAUGCGUAGAGAUUAGGAAGAACAUCAGUGGCGAAGGCGACUUUCUGGACUGUAACUGACACUGAGGCAUGAAAGCGUGGGGAGCAAACAGGAUUAGAUACCCUGGUAGUCCACGCCGUAAACGAUGAGUACUAGGUGUAGGGGGUAUCGACUCCCUCUGUGCCGCAGUUAACACAAUAAGUACUCCGCCUGGGAAGUACGGUCGCAAGAUUA